UACAGAGGGUGCAAGUGUUGUUCGGAAUUAUUGGGCGUAAAGCGCGCGUAGGUUGUUUAGUAAGUCGAAUGUGAAAGCCCUGGGCUCAACCGAAGAACGUCGGCCGAUACUGCCGUUCUUGAGGGAUGCAGAGGAGAUUGGAAUUCCCGGUGUAGCGGUGAAAUGUGUAGAGAUCGGGAGGAACACCGGUGGCGAAGGCGGGUCUCUGGGCAUCUCCUGACGCUGAGGCGCGAAAGCGUGGGGAGCAAACGGG
rnacentral:rRNA from 1 species